rnacentral:rRNA from 1 species
UGGCCUUGACAUACUAAGAACUUUCCAGAGAUGGAUUGGUGCCUUCGGGAACUUAGAUACAGGUGCUGCAUGGCUGUCGUCAGCUCGUGUCGUGAGAUGGUUGGGUUAAGUCCCGCAACGAGCGCAACCCUUUUCCUUAUUGCCAGCGGGUUAAGCCGGGAACUUUAAGGAUACUGCCAGUGACAAACUGGAGGAAGGCGGGGACGACGUCAAGUCAUCAUGGCCCUUACGGCCAGGGCUACACACGUGCUACAAUGGUCGGUACAAAGGGUUGCUACCUCGCGAGAGGAUGCUAAUCUCAAAAAGCCGAUCGUAGUCCGGAUCGCAGUCUGCAACUCGACUGCGUGAAGUCGGAAUCGCUAGUAAUCGCGGAUCAGAAUGCCGUGGUGAAUACGUUCCCGGGCCUUGUACACACCGCCCGUCACACCAUGGGAGUUUGUUGCACCAGAAGUAGGUAGUCUAACCGCAAGGAGGACGCUUACCACGGUGUGGCCGAUGACUGGGGUGAAGUCGUAACAAGGUAGGCGUAGAUGA